CGCUGAUCUGCAGUAAGGUGACGUUGGGUGUCUGUCGAUCGUCUCGUGGAGUUUUACUCGUGUUUAUGUUAUUAUGUUUUUCGGCGUAAUUGAAGCGUGUACUUCAGCAAGAAUGGGGUGUCCAUAUAGUGAGGAAGUUCGUCUGUUUUCGUUAGCGGACGAUUUGGCUGAAUGCAAUGAGGUGAACUAGUUGAACGCACCGGAUGAAUUAAAGUCUACAGCCCAACUAGGAAAAUAACUAUACCAUUGUAAAUGAUUGAUAAGUAUCUGAUUGAGUCGAUCAAUGGACCGACGCUUAUUAACAUACAAAUAGAUAUCUUUUGACACUACAUCAACUUAUCUUGCUUCGGUUACGUGCUGUAUUAAGGAUUUCUGGGAUUAUAAGGAAUUCUGGAAUUAUAAGGAAUUCUGGAAUAAUAAGGAUUUCUGGAAUUAUAAGGAUGUCUGGAGUUUCAAGGCUACUGCACACGCCGUAGAUUUGAGGAUGAUUUCCUUUGGUAAUAAA